rnacentral:tRNA from 1 species
GGGGAGGUAGCUCAGCUGGUUAGAGCGCUGGUCUGUGGAACCAGAGGUCGAGGGUUCGAUCCCCUCCCUCCCUA